rnacentral:lncRNA from 1 species
GGUAGUAUCAGCUUUCUACUUAACUUUCACCUCACUAAGAUCAGCUUAUGAGUACAAUAAAACAGAUUCACAUGUUUUCGACAAUAUUUUGACUUCUCCCAGACUCUUAACUAUGCUGAAAAUCUUACACCAGUAAUCUUGUGCCUGAAUUUGGAGUUGGUUUUAUCAAUGAGCACUAUGACAAUUUCUUAAAAACUUUACCACAGUUUGUUACACUGGUGAAUUUGAGCCAGUUAUAGAGGAAUCGUACACACUUAUCACCGAUGUUGUAGAGCCCGUUUAGCUUAGCUGACUUAAAGUUGCUGAUAAGCAUUAGGUGCUGAAAAGCACUUUUAAAUAAGCAGUUACGUAUUUGGAUGAAAGUGCUGGAAUUGAAAAUAAGUAGCUGAAGUGUUUGGCUUAUAAGCGCUCGACUUAUAAGCACUUUUAAAAUGCGCAAUAAUCCGAAAAGUGCUUCUAAGCUGGUCUAGCCAAACACCCUCAUACUUUGCUCUUUUAACUGAAUUUUAUAUAAUUCUUUUAAACGAGUUACAAGAAUAUUUUUUAACUCUGGUGCAAUGCCAUUUUGAACAGGAAGCAAGUCGAGAACUGAAGAACAGCAGACUAUUCUUCAAACUCCUUGAAGCUGUUCUCAGGGCAGGAAACCGCAUGAAUGUUGGCACUAACCGCGGUGAUGCCAGAGCGUUCAAACUUGAAACUCUUUUGAAUUUAAUAGAUAUAAAGGGAACAGAUGGAAAGACAACCUUGCUUCACUUUGUGGUCCUGGAGAUUAUCAGAUCAGAAGGGUUGGGUUCUGAUACCAGGGACGAUAACCUUCCAAAUAUAUCAAAUAUCAAAUUCAAAGAGGAAGAAUUCAAGGAGCAAGGGUUGCAGGUAGUUGCUGGAUUAAGCAGAGAACUCGGUCGCGGCGAUGCCAGAGCGUUCAAACUUGAAACUCUUUUGAAAUUGAUAGAUAUAAAGGGAACAGAUGGAAAGACAACCUUGCUUCACUUUGUCGUCCAGGAGAUUAUCAGAUCAGAAGGGCUGGGUUCUGAUACCAGGGACGAUAACCUUCCUAAUAUAUCAAAUAUCAAAUUUAAAGAGGAAGAAUUCAAGAAGCAAGGGUUGCAGGUAGUUU